GCCAGUGUGUCAUAGAGGUUUGAGCGCUGGACUCCAAAUCUGGAGAGCAGGGUUCGAUUCCCAGCUCAGCCA